CCCGGGCCCUGUUCCAGCUCGGGCUGCCCGGGGUGAGCCCUCGGCCGCCUGGACCUCGGUUCCCUCAGAGCCCCUGCUCGCCUGGACCUGCCGCGGAGCCGCCUCAGGUUUUAUCUGUGCUCUGAAACACUCCUGAAACACCCUGCUGUGUCUUGGAUAGCCUAAUGUUAGAUAUCUCAGAUACUGCAGAUACUGGUUUCUUAAGAAGCUGUUAAAACUGCUGGGAUGACGAAUUAAAUGUUCUGUAUCUGUUAUAAGAAAACAGUGGAGAGAACCUGAUGCUAAUGAAAGGCUGAUUUCCCAGCCCUGGGGACUCGAGCUGUGCCUCCCCAGUGAACAGCUCUGUCUGAGCUGUCCCUGGUGCCAGGGCAGGACACACAGUGACCUGGGACACACAGUGACCUGGGACACACAGGAUAGCCCGGGACACUGCGGGACUGAACUGAGCAGGAGAGACACGGAGAGGGAGAAAUCCCACAGCUUUAUCUUCCUAAAGCCUCUGUUCAAGGUCAGCGAACACAACGUUGUCCUUGGGCCGGAGUUCCCCCUGGGCCUUGUGAGCCAGAGCGGGACCUGCCCCAGGUAUCCCGCUGUUUCCUGUGGCUCUCGGUGUGUUCUGCGGGGCAGCGGCUCCCUCUGCCGAUGGCAGACACUGCUCACGCCCCGCUCCCGAGGCAGUGCAGCUGAGGACAGAACGUUUGGAAGCUGUGCCUUUGUCCCCCCAGAUGCCCGCACAGCUCUUUCAUGGGCUGGUGUGUCCUGAGCUGGGCUGGGCUGGGCCCCCGGAGCUCACGCUGCUCAGCAUUGAUUAACAGCCCCACAGUGCUCAUGCAAUUUGAAAAAUCACUUAAAGGGCAGUUUUAAUGUAUUAACACUGGGACACAAAU